UAGAGAUAGCUGGUUGUUCAGAAAACGGAUAUAGUCCAAUUUUAAAUCUCCUUAUAAUAAUAAAUACAUCAACAGCUUUAAAAUUCAUUCAAAUAAGGUACAGCCUAUUUGAAACAGGAUACAACCUAAAAUAUAGGGUAAUGUCUUAUACACGUGAUUAAGUCGGCUUAAAAGCAGCCACCUUCAAUAAGAGCGUCACAGCUUUAUCACUACGCAAUACUAAUAUCAAUCUAAAUACAAAACCUCUUAUUCCUACUGAAUGACUUCAUACAUGUAUGAAAAACCUCAUGUUAAAACUAGUAACAAGAAAAAUUUUCUCCUAUAACGCAAGUGUAAGCCGGAACGAACUAUUCGCCGGCUCUUACCGUCAAUGAUCAUACAGUAGUAACUAUACAAGAAAAUUCUACUACCAACAACGUUAACCUUACACCAGAGCUUUUCAGGAAAGAUUAAAAAAGAGGGAAGGAACUCGGCAAAUAGUAACCUCGCCUGUUUACCAA
rnacentral:rRNA from 1 species